rnacentral:rRNA from 1 species
UACGGAGGGUGCAAGCGUUGUCCGGAUUUAUUGGGUUUAAAGGGUGCGUAGGCGGUUCUUUAAGUCCGGGGUGAAAGCCCAUUGCUCAACAGUGGAACUGCCCUGGAAACUGGAGAACUUGAGUACAGACGAGGGCGGCGGAAUGGAUGGUGUAGCGGUGAAAUGCAUAGAUACCAUCCAGAACCCCGAUUGCGAAGGCAGCUGCCUAGACUGUAACUGACGCUGAGGCACGAAAGCGUGGGGAGCGAACAGG